UGCGUAGGCGGCUUUUUAAGUCGGAUGUGAAAUCCCCGAGCUUAACUUGGGAAUUGCAUUCGAUACUGGGAAGCUAGAGUAUGGGAGAGGAUGGUAGAAUUCCAGGUGUAGCGGUGAAAUGCGUAGAGAUCUGGAGGAAUACCGAUGGCGAAGGCAGCCAUCUGGCCUAAUACUGACGCUGAGGUACGAAAGCAUGGGGAGCAAACAGGAUUAGAUACCCUGGUAGUC
rnacentral:rRNA from 1 species